rnacentral:misc_RNA from 1 species
CGCACAUUGCGCCCGCCAGUACUCUGGCGGGCAUGCCUGUCUGAGCGUCAUUUCAACCCUCGCACCCGGCUUCUGUCGGGGGCGGUGUUGGGGAUCGGCCUCCCGGUUUCGGGCGGCCGGCCCCUAAAUGGAGUGGCGACCGCGCCGUAGCCUCCUCUGCGUAGUAGUGAAAAACUCGCAGGCGGAGAGCGGUGUGGCCCGCCGUAAAACCCCCCAACUUUCUAAGGUUGACCUCAGAUCAGGUAGGAAUACCCGCUGAACUUAA